ACGCCCCGCGGUCCCUUUUAGUUUAAAAGGUAGCGGAAAAGCGUCUGAAAAUUUUUUUUUUUGAAAAUCUGACCCCAGAGUGUGCCAGAUCCGCCACAAAUACAGGAGUUCCACUGUUCACCCGGACAGAGUCUCCCCUGUAUUUGCACGGCGUCGCACAAGUACAAGAGUUCAAUCAUACAACAACCACAACCAGAUGAAUAUACAAACAACCACAGAUAUACAUUCAUACACCAUUCACCACAGAUUCACAAUGAUACCUUCGCUAUUUAAAUAUAAAUCCACAACUAUCAGUUAAAAUGUUUCCAACCACAGAAACAGGUUUUGAAAUACUAAGAUACAAAAUCCACAGAAACCUUUUGAAAACUGUUCCCUACACAGGAACUUUUAACUUUUCAAAACGCUACCACGAGGGGUAGAAAACCAUUUCCAUUUCAAGAAAACACAAAUUCUUUUAUUACAUUCCAAAACCAACUGAAAACUCAGAUAUCCAAAUAGUAAAAUAAAACUGAACCAUAAUAUGUCUAAGUUAGUUAUUUAUUUAAUCAUGAAGAGUAAGGGUAGAUAAACCAAACCACGGGACGGAAAGCUCUAUCGUGUGCUAGACCCGUUCCUCACCAGCUGUCCCACUCGGACCGGCUACGUCACCUGUAAUGGGGGCGGGGGGUGAGAACAUGUAAACAUGUCUCCCCUCCCAGUGGGUACCGCAAGCCGAAGAAGGCGAGGGGUACUCACUAGUCACGGAGAUAAACAAAUAUAUGGAUAAUGGUAGUACAGUAGCUAAAAUAAACAAGUACUGAAGUGUAUAUAAAUGAACAACUACAGCUACUGUAUGUAUGCAUCAACGGGACAAUCAGUCCAAAAGUACCCAAUCUGAACCCAAUGCUCUCUUGGUCAGCACCGCAGACCUCAAGCCAAUGCCACUACUACUCUCCAGUGCAUAUAACCCCUCUAGGGCUCACGGGUUGUCACCAUUCAACCACUUUUCCGGAAAAGAACACUCCUUGCGGUGGAUCAGACCGCCAGUGUUCGUGAAAUGCGACGAGUAUCGGGCGAUCAAUGCAAUAUGCUCAAUGAUCAACCGUCGGCAACCAGCCGACAAUCCUGCCCCCCAGGGCCCAUCGACCGCAUGGGUCAUCAUGUAACCAAAUCGACCAACCAGGUCACAAGUAUGGAGUAUGAAACUCGACCAAC
rnacentral:lncRNA from 1 species